AAAACCCUGUGGUGCGCGUGACAUCCGGUGAAAGUUUGAGCCAACACCAAUAAUAAGGGAGCCUGGGCUUUGGCAGUGGAUUGUAGGCCGCCUUUGAACGGAAGCGGAAACAUGAAGCUGCCAAGAGGGCACCCACGUUGUGAGGACGGGUUCAAGAACUACCGGGAGGCACGGCACUAUGGGGGUUUU
rnacentral:other from 1 species